ensembl:lncRNA
GACAGAUUUCCUUACUUGCAGUCCAGACAUGGCAGGUUUGACUUGGCACGGAUGCUGGCCGGCGAGCUCAGAACGGAGCUGAGCCUCCCGUUCAAAUCAGAUGGACAUUUUCACAAGUCUGGUGACAACUCCGGCAGAGCCAGCUCCCACCCACACCCUUCUACGCACGUUCCUUUCUGAUCCGGCUCAGAGAGAUGGAGCCCGCCAGGCCACCAACAGGAGGCCUGCUGGAGAAGCAACCCAGAGACCUCGUGAGAAAAGCCGGAACCUCCCAAAUUUCAGAGGCUUUAGAGGUACAGGCUGCUCAGAAACCAGCCCCAGAGGUCAGACUUUGCAUCCAAGCUCCCCUCCAGACUCUGGGAUGAGUGGCCAACGUGGUUCAUUCUGACUGGGGACGGGAGCCUGGGGUCCCCUGCUGUCUUCUAGGGCAUCCCUCUCUCUGAGCCCCUCCCUGGCAUCUGGUGACAUCACAGUGACUAGGGAGGACGUUUUUCCUGCCAAAGGACACAUGCAGCCUCAGCCGCUGGGCCAAGGACCACCACCACCUGACGGGGCAGCCGUUCCUCAGGCCCCACAGGCUCCUGGCUGGGAUAGAAGAUUCCAGAAGCUGGCAGGCCUGUUCUCACCCUCGGCCUGGUCACUCAGCCCAGGCUGGCGCUCCUCACACCUGGUGGCCAUCAGGAGUUGUCAGGCCCAGCCCUUGCCCUGGCUUUUCAGGACAGGAGUUCUAGGCCCCACGGAGUGACCCGGCUUCCCAGACGGAGCUCGAUGGAUUCAGGGCUGCAUGUGUCAGAACGCUUUCCUGCCCGAAGCUCACCAGGCAUUUCAGGCCCCUCGGCUGUGUGUCGUUCCAGAGAAACCUCGUGUCAACACCUCAGUCUACUGUCCAGGUCCCCCAGCAGGACUGACGCGGGUGGAGGACAGGAGACUGUCCUGCUUUAUUUUCACGUUCCUGGAGCCUGAAGAAAAGAGUGCCUGAUGUGCAGCGAGCAUUCAGUGAACACAGGCAGCCCAGCCAUCGCACUCCUGGGUGUUUACCCAGAGGAACUGAAAAUUGACGUCCUCACCAAACCUGCACGUGGCUGUUUACGGAAGCUUCAUUCACAACUGCCAAAUCUCGGAAGCAACCAAGAGGCCCUUCAGUAGGUGGACGGGUUAGCUGUGGUCCACCCGGACAGUGACAUAUCAUUCAGUGCUGAAAAGAAAUGAGCUGUCCAGUCAUGAAACGACAUGGAGGGACCUUAAAUACAUGUGACUAAGUGAAAGAAGCCAGUCUGAAAAGGCCACAGACUACGUGAUUCCACCUCUACGACAUUCUGGAAAAGGCAAAACUACGGAGACAGUGACAAGACAGACUCUCCGCUCCGCUUCUGUGUUCAGGCCGCUGUGAGGUACUGUGCUGGUUGAAAUAUAGAAAGAAGUCUGGCCCCACGCAGAUUUAUUAGCCUCUUCAGACAAUUGUGCAUAUUCUUCUCUGACAUCACACAAACCUGGUGAAUGUGGUUUUUAAAGGUCAGCUGCUCUGCAGAAUCUGAAGCCGCGUUGGCAAACUUCUUGGGCUGCGGCAUCGAAGGCUGUGCUCUCCUUGCUCAUUGGACGACCUGCCGCCCGUGCAGGUUUUGGGACGUCGUGCUCUGGUCACUUGGAGAAAGUCAGUUCAUGGGGUCACGAGGAUCUUCCAGACGCUGGCACAUCUCUUUAUGCAACACCAAAAAGUCAUGUUUGUCAGUAACACCCCAACCUCUAAACUCUAGUUUUUGCUUGAAAGCUCAAACCUUGUCCUCAGCAACAAACACCGUCAGCUGUUUACCUUAAAGCAGCAGGUUCGCCUGUUCAUUUUCAGGACGGUGUCUGCCUGACACCCACUCCCCAAUAACGAGUCUGUUGGUUGUUCUUUCAGGUGGAAAUAGUGUUCUCCGACAAAAGGGCUGGUCCAGCCAUGGCUCAGCUGCGCUGUCUUCGGCACGGCCACCAUCUGGCCCGAGCACUCUGUGUGUCCCCCUCGCUCACACAGAAUACUAGAAAGGUCUGCAUUCGAGGGUCGAAGUGUAAUAAAAUUAGUCCUUUUUUGCUUUAUUAAGGACGUAUUAAAGUGCAGCUGCAGCUUUUGUUUAUCCGCAAGUGCGUGAGGAUGGACUCGCGCAACUUGACGCCACCACCUUGGCGCUGCUCAGGCGUGCGCUCAGUCCCACCCCCGCGGCUCUGCACCGUCCUCGCAAACGUCAGUGUGCGAGGAAGCCAGCGGCAUUUUAUCACCAUGGGAACCAGUUCUGAUCUACGGGCCACUGAGCAUCUCCGGCCCCCAUGUCAUGGGCCACAUCCUGAGAAUCACUGCUGGGGUCCAAGAUCCCGACAGGCAGUGAACUGCUGAUGUUUGCUGGUGGCGGUUGGAUGCGCUAGUAGAGUGAGGUGGAAGGAAGGUCAGUGGGCUGGGGUCAGGGGUCAUAGGUCCUGGUCUUGGUUCUGACAGCUGUCGCUGGUGGCAAUUGGGGUGAGCUGCUUUGCAUUGCUGGACCUCCUCUCCUUGUUUAUGGAUGUGAGGAGUUACACUGGACCUCUCACAUCUCUUCCCGUUGCAAGAGCCCCGCAUUCUGCUCACGAACCGCCUGCCACUCCCACGUGGUCUUCCAGGCACUUAGAGACGCGGCUUCUCCCGAGAGACGAACCCAAACUCUCAGUUCGAGCUGGGGGACUUUAAC